rnacentral:rRNA from 1 species
GACGAACGCUGGCGGCGUGCCUAAUACAUGCAAGUCGAACGCUGAAGAGAGGAGCUUGCUCUUCUUGGAUGAGUUGCGAACGGGUGAGUAACGCGUAGGUAACCUGCCUUGUAGCGGGGGAUAACUAUUGGAAACGAUAGCUAAUACCGCAUAACAAUGGAUGACACAUGUCAUUUAUUUGAAAGGGGCAAUUGCUCCACUACAAGAUGGACCUGCGUUGUAUUAGCUAGUAGGUGAGGUAAUGGCUCACCUAGGCGACGAUACAUAGCCGACCUGAGAGGGUGAUCGGCCACACUGGGACUGAGACACGGCCCAGACUCCUACGGGAGGCAGCAGUAGGGAAUCUUCGGCAAUGGGGGCAACCCUGACCGAGCAACGCCGCGUGAGUGAAGAAGGUUUUCGGACCGUAAAGCUCUGUUGUAAGUCAAGAACGGGUGUGAGAGUGGAAAGUUCACACUGUGACGGUAGCUUACCAGAAAGGGACGGCUAACUACGUG